rnacentral:rRNA from 1 species
GCUUAGCCCUUAACAUAGACAACAAACAUACAAUGUUGUCCGCCUGAGAACUACAAGUGAAAAACUAGAAACUCUAAGGACUUGGCGGUGUCCCAUACCGGCCUAGAGGAGCCUGUCCUAUAAUCGAUAAUCCACGUUACACCCUACCACCCCUUGCAAUUCAACCUAUAUACCGCCGUCGCCAGCCUACCUUAUGAGAGAAUUAAAGUAAGCUAAAUAGUCACUAACUAAAACGUCAGGUCAAGGUGUAGUAUAUGGGGUGGAAGAGAUGGGCUACACUUUCUACCACAGAACAUACGAACAGCACAGUGAAACCUCUGCUCAAAGGCGGAUUUAGUAGUAAGAUAAACAAGAAACUUUACCUGAAACCCGCUCUGGGACGCGCACACACCGCCCGUCACCCUCA